ensembl:lncRNA
UUCUGAGGACUAGAUGUCGUACCCUCUGCCUGUCUGCUCAACCGCCCGCGUGGGCUAGACGUACCCUCUGCCUCAGUGGCAGAACUAGAGUUUUAUACAUGGGAUGGCCAAGGCUACUUCAGGGGGUCCAUAGAACAUACCAGUAAAUUAGUGUUUAACCCUAACCUGGCAUCUAAGGAGCUAGGUAGAAGUGAUCAUUCGAGGUAGAAGUGAUCAUUCACUGAACCCGGAGUUCUUCAAUGUGGCAGAUAGUGAGGUCCAUAAGGGUUACUUCACUAGAAUUCAAUGUGAGGUCCAUAAGGGUUACUUCACUAGAAUUCAAUGUGGCAGAUAGUGAGGUCCAUAAGAGUUACUUCACUAGAAUUCAAUGUGGCAGAUAGUGAGGUCCAUAAGGGUUACUUCACUAGAAUUCAAUGUGACAGAUAGUGAGGUCCAUAAGGGUUACUUCACUAGAAUUCAAUGUGGCAGAUAGUGAGGUCCAUAAGAGUUACUUCACUAGAAUUCAAUGUGGCAGAUAGUGAGGUCCAUAAGGGUUACUUCACUAGAAUUCAAUGUGACAGAUAGUGAGGUCCAUAAGGGUUACUUCACUAGAAUUCAAUGUGG